rnacentral:rRNA from 1 species
GUCAUGGCUCAGAUUGAACGCUGGCGGCAGGCCUAACACAUGCAAGUCGAACGGUAACAGGAAGCAGCUUGCUGCUUCGCUGACGAGUGGCGGACGGGUGAGUAAUGUCUGGGAAGCUGCCUGAUGGAGGGGGAUAACUACUGGAAACGGUAGCUAAUACCGCAUAAUGUCGCAAGACCAAAGAGGGGGGACCUUCGGGCCUCUUGCCAUCGGAUGUGCCCAGAUGGGAUUAG